rnacentral:ncRNA from 19 species
CAAAUAUUUCAUUUUAAAAGUGCCCUUGUGUAAAUAAGCAAGGGAUAAUAGGGAAACCGGUGAAAAUCCGAUGCAGCCCCCGCUACUGUAAACGCUGAUGAAAUUGUCGAUAGCCACUGGCAUGAUGCCGGGAAGGGACAAAGUAAAAUGAAGCGUAAGCCAGGAAACCUGCUUUUAAAAUUGCAUGAUAC